rnacentral:rRNA from 1 species
GACGAACCGUGCGACCGUUAUUCGGAAUCACUGGGCUUAAAGGGCGCGUAGGCGGGCUGUCAAGUUUGGGGUGAAAUCCCGCGGCUCAACCGUGGAACUGCCUCAAAUACUGACGGCCUCGAGGAAGGUAGGGGCAUGCGGAACUGUAGGUGGAGCGGUGAAAUGCGUAGAUAUCGGAAGGAACACCAGUGGCGAAAGCGGCUUCCUGGUCCAGCACCGACGUUCAGGCACGAAAGCGUGGGGAGCAAACAGG